rnacentral:lncRNA from 1 species
AUUUAUAUGUAUGCCCUGGCUAUGAAAAGUGUAAAUACAAACAUUUUGAUUUCAACAGGGUAGUAAAUGAUGGGAACAACUUUGUGAUGAUGUAUACUGUUCUGCUGGUAAUUUUAAAGGGUGGACAGACACCUGUGUGUUGGGAACUUGAUUUUUUUAAUUGGACUUGAUUCUUUUAUUGGACAGGUGGAUGGAUAGCUAUGGAUACAGUUUCAGAAGUCAGAUCAGAGGUGAGAAAUGCAAGUGUUUUAUUAACUCCUUUUCUUACAGGCAUUCAUUACCGAGAAUAACUGUUGAAUAAUCUCUGUGGUAAUCUGGAUUUUAGGGAUCAAGGAGAGCUUCAAGUCUAUAUUCUGAGAUUUGACAUUAUUUUGAUAAAAAGGUAUUAGAGAGAAGAAAGGAAUUAAAUGUGGUAUGACAGAGAAAGGUGGAAAAGAAGAGUUGAGAUGAAGAACUCUGGAAAUCAAUGGAGCUUCCCUGAAAAGUUUUUCUUUUCGUCACUUAGGCCCUUCCUGGCUGGGAUUGCUGUUUUUCUUAAGUGGUUAUCUCUAACAGACAUCUGACUCCUGUGUGAAAACAUUAAUUCCACCUGCUGAGGAAAGAAUGUAAGGCUGAAUAUCAUCAUAUUUACUUAAACUAGGGCAUAACUAGUCAAGGUACUAUCUUCUAAUGUAUUUUGAAGUGUUGGUAGACAUAAUAGGGGCAUAAGCUCACAUCUGGCUCUAAAACACAAGUCUUGUUAAAGAGUUUUUGUUCUUCUUUUGCAGUGGUAGCAGUUUACAUUUAAGUGAAUGACAUGUUUGUUGUCAUAAGAAAUAGGAUAUAAAAAUGAGAUGUUUAAAAAAAAAUUGUAUUUUCAGUGAUAUUUUGCUUUUUUUUUUCUGUCAUGUACGAGAAGAAGGAAAAGGAACAUUUUAUAUAGAUUUUUCUAGUGAAGUAGAAGUUUUUCUUCACCUUGAGCGACUGCAACAAGACCACCACUUUUGUGUGACCACUGAACACUGGCCUCAUUAAACCUUUUUGGAUGGUGCUGAAGACUUCAGUAGUGUUUCAAAGGACAGUGUGUACAUAGUGAAUUACCAAAUCCUUAGUGGAAUGAUCAGACAAUGAUUUCCUUGGCCACUUUGAUACAGGAAAAGCAAAAUAGAAAGAAAAAUGUUACAUUAAGUAUUUCUUUGAUGCUUUUAGCAGAGGGAUAGUGUGAUAGGACAUAACCAUUAUGAUGUUUUGUCUUGGCUAUCAGAUCUUCUAGAUAGGGAGCAUAUAUGGCAUGGUGAAAAAUAUGUAAAAACACGAUAGGGACUCAACACUGGCAGUAUGCAGUGACAAGACAUCACAGAAAUGGUGUGGUUUUUUUGUUUUUGUUUUUUAAUGGUAUAUCCAGAUUCUUAAUAAUGAAGUAAUAAUAUUCAGUGGCCAUUCACAGUGCUGCUAUUUUUUACAUAGAUAAUGCUCAACAUGUACAGUAGAAAGUGUACCCUUGAAUUUAUUUUAGAGUUACUGGUUCCACCUGUUUAUUUACCUACAUUUAAGCAUUUCUUAGCAAUUUCACUGUAACAUCUGCCACAUAGAAGGGCAUCAUGAUUUAUCUGCAGCUCUGAAUACAUUACUUGUUAACCUUUACAAACACCUAGCAUGACUCAUU